rnacentral:lncRNA from 10 species
CGCAGGUGGAGCUGCCUGCCAGUCCCGCGCAGUGCGCCGGCACUACUCAGCUCUAGGGCGGUCGAUGGGACCUGGCGCCCUGGAGCAGGGGGCGGCGCUCCAGGGAGGCAGCUAAGGCCUGGCGAGAAAUCGAGCACAGCACCUGCUGGCCCAGGUGCUAAGCCCCUCACUGCCCGCGGCUGGCCGGCCGCUCCGAGUGGGGGGCCCGCUGAGCCCACGCCCAUCCGGAACUCGCGCUGGCCCGCAAGCGCCGCUGCGCAGCCCCGGUUCCCGCCCGCGCCUCUCCCUCCACACCUCCCUGCAAGCUGAGGGAGCCGGCUCCAGCCUUGGCCAGCCCAGAAAGGGGCUUCCACAGCGCAGCAGCGGGCUGAAGGGGGGCUCCUCAAGUGCGGCCAGAGUGGGCGCCAAGGCCAAGGAGGCGCCCAGAGCCAGCGAGGGCUGGGAGGGCUGCCAGCAGGCUGUCACCUCUCAGGACUACAGGUGCGCCACCACGCCUCGUUAAUUUUUGUAUUUUUACUAGGUGUUUCACCGUGUUGUUCAGGCUGGUCUCGAACUCCUGACCUCCGGUGAUCCUGCCGCUUAAGCCUCCCAAAGUGCUGGGAUUACCAGGCGUGAGCCAUCACGCCCGACCUGGUUUUGACUACCAGUGUCUGCUCCUCCGUGCCUGAGGGCCAGAAGUGUUGAGGGCUGAAUGCCUCCUGAAGCAGCCUUGACAAUAACUGACAGGAAGGAGUAAGUGUAGAAACUCUCCUGCUCCCUGACCCAAGAGUGGGAAGAUUCAGAGGCAUGGAUCUUACAUUUUCCCAGACUUCCCUCCAGAAGGAAGCUUUCUUGUCCACUUGGUGGCUGGCAUAAUAAACAUCUUUUAUUGACUGCUUUCCCUGCCCCGUAUCACAUUCCCACUUCCCUGCCGAUGCUUCCUGUCCUCCCAAAUCAAUUAUCUACACUAAAAUACUCAGGGUCUGCUUCUGGGACUUCAAACUAAGACACUGCAUAUAGAAUUCUCCACAAAUGGACUUCUUCUCUCAGCACUUCUCUUUGGAUCUUCUAAUUCUAUCAUGUUUCUUAAUUCUGCCUCCAUUUUUUUUUUUUUUUUUUUUUUUUUUUGAGAUGGAGUCUCACUCUGUCACCCAGGCCAAAGUGCAGUGGUGUGAUCUUGGCUCACUGCAACCUCUGCCUCCUGGGUUCAAGCAAUCCUCCUGCCCCAGCCUCUUGAAUAGCUGGAAUUACAGGCAUGCACCACCAUGCAAGGCUAAUAGUUGUAUUUUUAGUAGAGAUGGGAUUUCAACACGUUGGCCAGGCUGGUCUCGAACUCCUGACCACAAGUGAUCUGCCUUACUUGGGCUCCCAAAGUGCUGGGAUUACAGGCAUAAGCCACUGUGCCUGGCUGCUCUUCCAUUUUUUCAUCUCUAUAUUUGAGUGAUUUCUUUAGAACCAUUUUUCAGCUUUUUUUUUCCCAAAAAUAUCUGGUGUUUUUGAAUUUUUCAAUUAAUUUACUAUAUACAUUUCUUAAAGUUCUUUUUUUUUUUUUUUGGGACAGUAUCUCACUCUAUUGGCUAGGCUGGAGUGCGCGAUUAUGGCUCACUGCAACCUCAACCUCCUGGGCUCAAGGGGUCCUCCCUCCUACCUCAGCCUCCUGAGUAGCUGUGACCACAGGCAUGCACCGCCAGGCCCAGCUAAUUUUUUAUUUUUAUUUUUUGUAGAGAUGGGGUCUUGCUGUGUUGUGUAGGCUAGUCUCAAAUUACUGAGCACAGACAAUCCUCUUGCCUCUGCCUCCCAAAGUGUUAGGAUUACAGGUGUGAGCCUCCACGUCUGGCCUUAAAGUUCUUUUUCAAGUUUUCCUCCUGUUCUUUCUUUUUUUUUUUUUUUUAACGGACUCUCACUCGGUCACCAGGCUGGAGUGCUGUGGCAUGAUCUUGGCUCACUGCAGCCUCCGCUUCCCGGGUUCAAGCGAUUCUCCUGCCUCAGCCUCCAGAGUAGCUGGGACUACAGGUGCGUGCCACCAUGCCCAGCUGAUUUUUGUAUUUUUAGUAGAGAUGGGGUUUCACCAUAUUGGCCAGGAUGGUCUUGAUCUGUUGACCUUGUGAUCCACCCACCGUGAGCCACCGUGCCCUGCCUUGAAAAAAGUUUAUUCUUUGUAAAGACAGGGUCUUGCUGUGUUGCCCAGGCUGGUCUUGAACUCCUGGUCUCAAGCGAUUAUCCCAUCUCAGCCUCCCAAAGUGCCAGGAUUAUAGACAUGAACCACCGUGCCUAGCCUCUAUUAUAAUUUUAAACACUCAUUUUUUUCUUUUUAUCUUUCUCUGAUGAUUUUAUUAUCUGAAAUUCUUAGGGAUUUAAUUCUUGCUCAUGGUAGAUUGUUUUCUCAAGUGUUGAAAAAUUUGUGAUUUUGAAUUCAUCGUCAAGAGAGCUUUAUUUGCAUGAGUGCAAAGGAUGAAAAUUCUAGACUGGGCGUGGUGGCUCACGCCUGUAAUCCCAGCACUUUGGGAGACCGAGGUGGGCAGAUCACGAGGUCAGGAGUUUGAGACCAGCCUGGCUAACAUAGUGGAACCCCAUCUCUACUAAAAAUACAAAAAAUUAGCUGGGUGUAGUGGUGUGUGCAUGUAAUCCCAGCUACUUGGGAGGCUGAGGCAGGAGAAUUGCUUGAAGCCGGGAGGCAGAGGUUGCAGUGAGCCAUGAUUGCAUCACUGCACUCCAGCCCAGCGGACAGUGCGAGACUCCAUCUCAAAAAAAAAAAAAGAAAGAAAAGAAUAUUCUAAAAAAAGACUUAAUUCCCCCCGCCACCCCACCCCAAAACAAGUGGAGACAGGCAAACUUCCUUAUCUUCUAGGUUGGGGGAUGGAUUUUUUUCCUGGUCCACUGUUUGGAAGAUGUUUCCCUUCAAACUUUCAGCUUUUGCAGGGAUCUCCGUUCUAGUUCUCCCUCUGGGUC